CUGAAUGGGGGAACCUGACAGCCUGCCGCGUGAGUGAUGAAGGCCUUCGGGUUGUAAAGCUCUUUUGUGUGGGAAGAUAAUGACUGUACCACAAGAAUAAGCCCCGGCUAACUUCGUGCCAGCAGCCGCGGUGAGGGGGAGGGGGGCUAGCGUUGUUCGGAAUUACUGGGCGUAAAGGGUGCGUAGGUGGUUAUGUAAGUCAGAAGUGAAAGCCCUGGGCUCAACCCGGGAAUUGCUUUUGAAACUAUGUAGCUAGAGUUCGAGAGAGGUAAGUGGAAUAUCCAGUGUAGAGGUAAAAUUCGUAGAUAUUGGAUGGAAGGGCAGGGGGCGAAGGCGGCUUACUGGCUCGAUACUGACACUGAGGCACGAAA
rnacentral:rRNA from 1 species